UUCCACAUCUGCCUACUGCAGUGGCUCUUGCAGCAUCUGACCAUUGUUUGGGGCAGAAUACUGGACUACGUAGACCUUUGAUCUAACCCAGUCUGGCAAUUCCUAAGUUCCUAUGUUUUUUUGUUUUGUUCUGUUUUAAAUCAGACCCAGUGUCUAUUGACUAAAACAAGGCCUGUGAAAUUUUCAGACACUGGCUUUUUUUGACUAAAGAUAUGGAUUAUAUUUUGUAUGACUUGCUGAUAGCUUUGAUAUUGUAUAUUCUGUGUAAUGUAUAUUUUUCUUGCUGAAAUCUUCUGAGGUCAGGUGUACUGUUUAAAUUAAUUAAUUUUAAUUUCUGAAUGUGUUGUAUUUCAUAACUAUAACGUGAGGUGAGAUGCUGAGGUAAUGUGAUAUCUUAUAAUUCUAUAUUUUUUGGCAAUUAUCAUACCCCUAUGUGUGAGGCUGUGUUAGGGUGCAUAAACCCCACAGAGGUCAACAAAGCACUAAUGGAAGCCUGAGAAACCAGUUAGCUCACCCUGUUGCACCGGGAGGGUGUGUCAGGUUCAAUUCAGUAUCAGACCCAGCUGGGGAGGAGAUGGUGUGGUUUCUAUAACGGAAGGAGCUCCGUGCACUUGAGGAAGAAGAUAUUAUGUUAUUUCCUGAGGAGAAAGGAAAGGUAUCUGUCUGUUCAGGGUUGAGAAAUAGAAGAACCCCUCUGUAAGGGAAAGGAGAGGAACAAGGGAAACUGCCACUCUUGUGUUGUCUCCUCCCUCCAUUCGUGCUGCCUUGUACAGUGUGAGGCUACAUUAACAACGUGUUAACCUUUGAGGACUUGCUCGUUCAUCCUUUAGCAGUAAGGCAUCCCCUGGGAAAUAUCCCACCUUCUGACUUCACCACCUCAACCAAGCUUCACAAUAAUCCUCGCUGUGUACAGUAUUAAAUUGUUUGUUUAAAACUUA